UACCAGCACCCCGAGUGGUCGGGACGAUUAUUGGGCCUAAAGCAUCCGUAGCCGGUUUUACAAGUCCUCCGUUAAAUCCAGCUGCUUAACAGAUGGGCUGCGGAGGAUACUAUAAGACUAGGAGGCAGGAGAGGCAAGCGGUACUCAGUGGGUAGGGGUAAAAUCCGUUGAUCCAUUGAAGACCACCAGUGGCGAAGGCGGCUUGCCAGAACGCGCUCGACGGUGAGGGAUGAAAGCUGGGGGAGCAAACCGG
rnacentral:rRNA from 1 species